rnacentral:rRNA from 1 species
AUUGAACGCUGGCGGCAGGCCUAACACAUGCAAGUCGAGCGGAUGAAGGGAGCUUGCUCCUGGAUUCAGCGGCGGACGGGUGAGUAAUGCCUAGGAAUCUGCCUGGUAGUGGGGGAUAACGUCCGGAAACGGGCGCUAAUACCGCAUACGUCCUGAGGGAGAAAGUGGGGGAUCUUCGGACUUCACGCUAUCAGAUGAGCCUAGGUCGGAUUAGCUAGUUGGUGGGGUAAAGGCCUACCAAGGCGACGAUCCGUAACUGGUCUGAGAGGAUGAUCAGUCACACUGGAACUGAGACACGGUCCAGACUCCUACGGGAGGCAGCAGUGGGGAAUAUUGGACAAUGGGCGAAAGCCUGAUCCAGCCAUGCCGCGUGUGUGAAGAAGGUCUUCGGAUUGUAAAGCACUUUAUGUUGGGAGGAAGGGCAGUAAGUUAAUACCUUGCUGUUUUGACGUUACCAACAGAAUAAGCACCGGCUAACUUCGUG